GCCAGUGUGGUGCAGUGGUUUGAACAUUGGCCUAUGACUCUGGAAACCAGGGUUCAAAUCCUGGCUUGGCC